AGGAUGAACGCUGGCGGCGUGCCUAACACAUGCAAGUCGAACGUCCUGUCUCGCAAGAGGCAGGGAGUGGCGGACGGGUGAGUACCACGUGGGUUAUCUACCGUGAGGUGAGGAAUACCGGCGAGAAAUCGCCGACAAGACCGCAUAGCCUCGGUGCAAGCCGAGGAAAGCUUUCUCGAGAGAGGGAGCGCCACACGAGGAGCCUGCGCCCGAUUAGCUAGCUGGUGGAGUAACGGUUCACCAGGGCGACGAUCGGUAGCUGGUCUGAGAGGACGAUCAGCCACACUGGGAUUGAGAACGGCCCAGACUCCUACGGGGGGCAGCAGUGAGGAAUUUUCGUCAAUGGGGGCAACCCUGAACGAGCAACGCCGCGUGCAGGAAGAAGGUUUUCGGAUCGUAAACUGCUUUUCUCGGGGAAGAGAACGGACGGUACCCGAGGAAUCAGCCCCGGCUAACUACGUGCCAGCAGCCGCGGUAA
rnacentral:rRNA from 1 species